GACGAACCGUGCAAACGUUGUUCGGAAUCACUGGGCUUAAAGGGCGCGUAGGCGGGGGACCAAGUCCGGGGUGAAAUCUUUCGGCUCAACCGGAAAAACUGCCUUGGAUACUGGUCUUCUGGAGGGAGGUAGGGGCAGGUGGAACUUCCGGUGGAGCGGUGAAAUGCGUUGAUAUCGGAAGGAACGCCGGUGGCGAAGGCGGCAUCCUGGACCAAUUCUGACGCUGAGUGAGCGAAAGCCAGGGGAGCAAACGGG
rnacentral:rRNA from 1 species